GCAUGCUUUGUUCAGCUGUGCAGCAGGAGAUGGGUCAAAGGAGAUCUCAACAACGUCUGAUUCUCAGCUGACAUGUCAUGACAACACUCAACAGAUACAGACCCUGCCUUAGGAGGCCCAUCUAAAGAUCAUUGCAAGAAGGACAAAUAUCACAGCAGGAGGGAAGAGCACGAACAACCUGGAAUGAAGAAAGCUAGGCAGCCUGUUGUGAACCCACCAGGCACCUCAGAUGAUAUCGAGACUUCCUUUGGAGGCUCAUCUCAAGGGAAUCACGAAAAUUCUGCUGAAAAAAAUCUGGACGAUGCUAAAAGGAAGCAGAAACGAGCCUGGUCUUCAACUGAAAUUUCAGCAGUACAGAGGCACUUCC